rnacentral:rRNA from 1 species
AUUGAACGCUGGCGGAAUGCUUUACACAUGCAAGUCGAACGGCAGCACGGGAGCAAUCCUGGUGGCGAGUGGCGAACCGGGUGAGUAAUAUAUCGGAACGUGCCCGGUCGUGGGGGAUAACGUAGCGAAAGCUACGCUAAUACCGCAUACGAUCUACGGAUGAAAGCGGGGGAUCGCAAGACCUCGCGCGAUUGGAGCGGCCGAUAUCAGAUUAGGUAGUUGGUGGGGUAAAGGCUCACCAAGCCAACGAUCUGUAGCUGGUCUGAGAGGACGACCAGCCACACUGGAACUGAGACACGGUCCAGACUCCUACGGGAGGCAGCAGUGGGGGAAUUUUGGACAAUGGACGCAAGUCUGAUCCAGCCAUUCCGCGUGCAGGAUGAAGGCCCUCGGGUUGUAAACUGCUUUUGUACGGAACGAAAAGGUUUCUCUUAAUACGAGGAGCUCAUGACGGUACCGUAAGAAUAAGACACCGGCUAACUACGUGCCAGCAG